UUGAAAUUGAAGAGUUGCUUAAAAAAGGAAAGAGACAUUCUUUUUGGGACUAAAAGGAAAGUAAGACAAAUAAAUUCUACCGGAUGGAGCAAUUCUUCUUUCUUCUCAACAAUACAGUACAUUAUAACUGGUGAUGUCACCUAAGGCACAUGAAAAGAGAGCAGUUUGAUUGCUACACUCUUUACUGUCUUCACAUUGGAAGAGACAGUAAUGUCCACAACAUUGUUUCGUCUUUCACGGCUCUGGUCAAAAUAGAAUAAUAAGGUUGGUGUUCAAAAUUUAAUCGAUAAACUGGGACACCAAAGCGCCGCUAAAAAACGGUCAUCGUGGAGUCUCCGUUGGUCAAAGACAGCCGCGAGUUUCAAUCAAAAUUGGUAUCAUUCUUGAAUAAUAUGCCACCAUCUUCAAGCUACAGCCGCGAGUUUCAAUCAAAAUUGGUAUCAUUCUUGAAUAAUAUGCCACCAUCUUCAAGCUACAGCCGCGAGUUUCAAUCAAAAUUGGUAUCAUUCUUGAAUAAUAUGCCACCAUCUUCAAGCUACAGCCGCGAGUUUCAAUCAAAAUUGGUAUCAUUCUUGAAUAAUAUGCCACCAUCUUCAAGCUACAGCCGCGAGUUUCAAUCAAAAUUGGUAUCAUUCUUGAAUAAUAUGCCACCAUCUUCAAGCUACAGCCGCGAGUUUCAAUCAAAAUUGGUAUCAUUCUUGAAUAAUAUGCCACCAUCUUCAAGCUACAGCCGCGAGUUUCAAUCAAAAUUGGUAUCAUUCUUGAAUAAUAUGCCACCAUCUUCAAGCUACAGCCGCGAGUUUCAAUCAAAAUUGGUAUCAUUCUUGAAUAAUAUGCCACCAUCUUCAAGCUACAGCCGCGAGUUUCAAUCAAAAUUGGUAUCAUUCUUGAAUAAUAUGCCACCAUCUUCAAGCUACAGCCGCGAGUUUCAAUCAAAAUUGGUAUCAUUCUUGAAUAAUAUGCCACCAUCUUCAAGCUACAGCCGCGAGUUUCAAUCAAAAUUGGUAUCAUUCUUGAAUAAUAUGCCACCAUCUUCAAGCUACAGCCGCGAGUUUCAAUCAAAAUUGGUAUCAUUCUUGAAUAAUAUGCCACCAUCUUCAAGCUACAGCCGCGAGUUUCAAUCAAAAUUGAAAAGUGUAUGCUGAGGUUGAAGAGGAAGCGCCGAAAGAUGAGAUAGAGAUUGAAGUAGAAGCACAUUCUGCAGUUCUCAACGAAAUUUUCAUGCAAGUUGGAGAAAGUAUCUUGAAGGUGAGUGGUUCCUUGCAAGAGACUAUUGGAGUGUAAUUGGGGGCUCAAAAAUCAAAAUCAGAAUACCAAAUUAUGUUUUCCGGUGAAUUACAGAGAAACACUU